UCAUUGAGUUUUCCCUUUCGGUAUUCAACCACAAAGUCAAACUUUUGCAGACGAAGAGCCCAACGGAUCAGAUGGCUAGUUGUCCUAGUGGAAUUCAUCACCCACUGCAGUGCUGAAUGGUCUGUGACAAUGGGCAUUGAUGGGUUCAGCAAUGUGGGAGAAAUGGGGUACAAAGCGAUGAUACCAGCCGGCCAACCCAAGAAAACGCUGAACUUCUUUCAGAUUCUUAGGCACUGGGUUGAUGGUCAAACCUGCGGACUGUAGAUGGGAAAGGACGGUUUGGAGAUCAUGAAAAUGCUGCGACAGAGAGGGUGAGUAUAUAAUGAUAUCAUCAAUAUAC